AUUGAACGCUGGCGGCAUGCCUUACACAUGCAAGUCGAACGGCAGCACGGGAGCAAUCCUGGUGGCGAGUGGCGAACGGGUGAGUAAUAUAUCGGAACGUGCCCGGUCGUGGGGAUAACGUAGCGAAAGCUACGCUAAUACCGCAUACGAUCUACGGAUGAAAGCGGGGGAUCGCAAGACCUCGCGCGAUUGGAGCGGCCGAUAUCAGAUUAGGUAGUUGGUGAGGUAAAGGCUCACCAAGCCGACGAUCUGUAGCUGGUCUGAGAGGACGACCAGCCACACUGGGACUGAGACACGGCCCAGACUCCUACGGGAGGCAGCAGUGGGGAAUUUUGGACAAUGGGCGCAAGCCUGAUCCAGCAAUGCCGCGUGCAGGAUGAAGGCCUUCGGUUGUAACUAGCUUUGUACGGAACGAAACGGACGAGCUCUAAUACAGUUUGCUAAUGAGGUACCGUAAGAAUAAGAC
rnacentral:rRNA from 1 species